UUAAAUGAUUAAAUCAAGUACCUUGCAGGAGAGGCUGGGGUGGCCUUGAGGAUACACUCAAGGCUUCAGGACAUGCAGUCUGGAAGUGGGGGAAUCAAGAGCACCCUGCCUCUAGUACUGUCCUCAAUGAUAAGGCGCUGAGGUUCCCAACCUGGACCAAGAAGUACAUAUUCAGGUUCAAAAGAUAAAGCAAAACAAAACCUGAGCUCUCUCUCUAGAAUGAAGUACCUGGUCCCAGAUCACCAGCUAAUAUUUAUGGAAAGCUUAUCAGAAAACAGAAGUGUCAGCAGAGGACUGUAAGUGCUAUGUGAUUGGACUAUGGUGGCCAUGGAAUUUCACCUGCCCGGCACAUAUUCUCUCAUCCUCUCCUCCUCUGCCUUGUUUGGGAGGGAGAAAUCAGAAGGAGUGGGAAUGCAGUUCAGAGAGCAGAGGAGAAGAGAAGAAAAGAAGGAAGAAGGAAGAGGACUGGGGGUGGGUGGGGGGGAGGACACCAAUGGGAAGAGGGACAGAUCAACUCUACACACAAAAGUAAAUCAAAACACCAAAAACAGGGGUCUAUGUAAGGAAGCCUCUGCCCAUGAAUUGCUCGUUGCAUAGCUGCAGGGAGGGUGUUUGGGGGCAUAGAGAAUGAAAACACCUGUAUUUUGGUGUAGGGAAAUUGUUUCUGUCAAUUCACACCGUCCACACGCCACCUCC